AGCGAGUACACUGCAGAACACCGGCGUAGAGGGACAUGGAGGGAAAAAAAGUAGAAGGUUGAAAAAGAAGGCAUCUUUUGAAUCACGACCGACGAACGGCCAACAGACGACAUAGUUUGGAAACACCGGACCCUUUCUGGUUGGUUGUAGGCUAUAGAGGCACCUGUCAGAACACAUGGAGAGGAAGUUUGCAGUGGUGCGGUGGCGUGAAGGGGAGGAUUUUGGGAAGCUCAGUGACAUAAAAACUGAUGCCAUAAGGGGGUAUGAUGAUUCCAAGAUGGACCAGGAUGGGAAUCCCUUUGCCACCUACUCAGCCGUAAUUGAAUGGCGCCAUGGGAAGAAACAACGAGGAGGCUGGCCUCACUACAGAGGCACUGUCAUUUUUGUUAGUGGUAAGUUAAGAGUUACUAACUUACUCUAAUUCACACAAACACAAGUACUAUGUGGUUUUGAUGCUGUAAGUGCCACAAUCAGUAUGUCAUCUGACAACUAUGUCAAAAAUGAACUAAAAAUUUAACUAUGUUAAAAAUGAGAUGAGAUAAUAACACUUUGACAGUUGAAACCAGGUUGAAUAAAGCUUUUUGAAUAGUUGUUUAUGUCAGGUGUCAUGUAUACCUUAUGCAUAACCCCCUGAAUAUUUGCAUAGAGUAUA